CAAAAUAAAGACAUGAGAGAACAUCUAUGAUCAUUUCUUUAUCCUUGAAGUAAUAAUCACCAUAUUAAUCAUUUUACAGACGCGGUAGUUCUUCUGUCUUAGCGUCUCGGUCUGAUUGUAUUUCCAUGAAGAAAUGAUCAUAAAUGUUCUUCCUUGAGCUGCGGCACCCCGCUGUAGUCUGUAAUGGACUGGCCUGAGGUCUCUCUACAAACAAGCGUCUGCUGGAAGAGAGUAGGUGAGUUGUGUUUAGUCUCUUUGCUAAAGAAAUGAGUCAAAGUUAAAAAGAUGUUUGGUGUCUAGUACUAUGUCUGUGACCCUAUAUGUCCUGUUGAUGAAGUUAGGUGCUGUUCUGAGCAUUAUUUGUGGCUAUAGAGUGGCGUUUUGGUUGAGGGCGUGUCUCUCUGUAUUUCUAUCCUGCGGUCGUUACUAAAGUUGGUUUAACUAGAGAAGGAAGCGGUCGACAACAUUCAUCUCUGGAGGGGGGGUCUAACUCGGUGUUACGGUGGGUUUGACCCUACAUUAAUUUUACAGCAGAAUGUCCCUUUAAAGUCUCAUUCUGUCAGAUGGAGAAUUUAUGACGCUGAAGAUUUCAGGUGAGGCAGAAACUGCUUCCUGUUAAAAGUGUGUCUCAGCUGUUGAAGUUAAUGAUUUUCCUGACGGUGUUUUUAUUUCUCAGGACUCCUCUGUUAUCUGCUGGGUCACCUCAGCCUUUCACAGCAUCGUCAUCGUCAUCGUCAUCAUCAUCAUCAUAAUCAUCAUCAUCAUCAUCAUCAUCAUCAUCAUCAUCGUCAUUAUCAUCGUCAUUAUCAGCAGCUUCUGUCCUGUUUGUUUUCAUGAGACCGUUCUCAUCGACAGACUGACUGAACCUCCUAAUCUGAAAACAGGUUCAGUACCACACCUUUAAACCCCCCAGAGGAGGCAGACUUCUCUCUUUUAAAGGCUCAAGGAUCCAGGAAGGACCUUUGGUUGGAGAACAGCUGAGGACUCUUAGAUUUAUGAGAUUAGAUGGUAUCAGUUACUCUGAGCCUGUAAAUGUUAAACAAUCAGACCGUUAUCGAGGAUUUUCUUUUGAAAGUUCCCUCAGACUCACUAAUCCAGCAGCUCAGACCUCGAUCAGCUCUCAGAGAGUUUCAGACCACAUCCACUGACCCCGGGAGGCGGUCCACAGAGGCUUUUCUAGUAGACCGGGACCCUGGACAAAGGCCAAUAGAAACAGAGAUGUCAGCAAAUCCGAGUGUUUUUUUCACCGCACUCAUGUGAUCCGUCCUGAACUUCAGAGGGCAGAGAGGCGCUUUCAGUUCCACUCAGGCUCUUCACAGAGAACACAUCAUCUGUGUGUGUGUGUGUCCGUGCUCCGCUCUCCCCUAUUACACAACAGCAACAACAGCAACAACAACAACAACAACAACAGCAACAACACAACAACAACAACAACAACAACAACAAAACAAGAGAGAGAGAGAGAGAGAGAGAGAGAGAGAGAGGGGUCCAUAAAGAGACAUAAUAAAUACAGUUAGAGAACACAUCAUCUGUGUGUGUGUGUGUGUGUGUGUGUGUGUGUGUGUGUGUGUGUGUGUGUGUGUGUGUGUGUAAAGAGCCCGGUUAGAGACCCCCCCCCCCCCUUUACUUCUUCUUCGGUCCUCAAACUUUUAAAGGUCCAAAAACAAAGACCAGAAACAAACAACCCAACCC
rnacentral:lncRNA from 1 species